CCUGAGGGGCGGAGCCCCGGCCGGAGGUCUGUCAUGCUGUUCCCGCGCCAGGUGGCCGCUGUAACCUCUUCGGUCCGCGACGAUCCUCUAGAGCACUGUGUGUCUCCCCGGACGCGAGCCCACUCCCCUGAAAUCUGCAAAAUGGCUGAUAAUUUGGAUGAAUUUAUUGAAGAGCAAAAAGCCAGAUUGGCUGAAGACAAAGCAGAGUUGGAAAGUGAUCCACCUUACAUGGAAAUGAAGGGAAAGUUGUCAGAGAAGCUUUCUGAAAACAGUAAGAUACUGAUCUCUAUGGCUAAGGAAAACAUACCACCAAAUAGUCAACAGACCAGGGGUUCCUUAGGAAUUGAUUAUGGAUUAAGUUUGCCACUUGGAGAAGACUAUGAACGGAAGAAACAUAAAUUAAAAGAAGAAUUGCGGCAAGAUUACAGACGUUAUCUUACUCAGGGCAUUACACAAGGGAAAAGAAAGAAAAAUUUUCUAUCUACGAGUGAAACAGAUCCAUCUACUUUGGGAGUUUCUCUUCCUAUUGGUGAGAGGUUAUCUGCUAAGGAAAGGUUGAAACUUGAACGUAACAAAGAAUACAAUCAGUUUCUCAGGGGUAAGGAAGAAUCCAGUGAAAAGUUCAGGCAGGUGGAAAAGAGUACUGAGCCCAAGAGUCAGAGAAAUAAAAAACCUAUUGGUCAAGUUAAGCCUGAUCUAACUUCACAAAUACAGACAUCUUGUGAAAAUUCAGAGGGUCCUAGAAAAGAUGUCUUAACUCCUUCAGAGGCAUAUGAAGAACUUCUGAACCAAAGACGACUAGAGGAGGACAGAUACCGACAACUAGAUGAUGAAAUCGAAUUAAGGAAUAGAAGAAUUAUUAAAAAAGCAAAUGAAGAAGUGGGCAUUUCCAACCUAAAACAUCAAAGGUUUGCAAGCAAGGCUGGCAUUCCAGAUAGAAGAUUUCACAGAUUUAAUGAGGAUCGUGUUUUUGAUAGACGGUAUCAUAGACCAGACCAAGAUCCUGAAGUAAGUGAAGAAAUGGAUGAGAGGUUUAGAUAUGAAAGUGAUUUUGAUAGAAGACUUUCGAGAGUGUAUACAAAUGACAGGAUGCACAGGAACAGACGAGGGAAUAUGCCUCCUAUGGAACAUGAUGGAGAUGUUAUAGAACAGUCAAACAUAAGAAUUUCAUCUGCUGAAAAUAAAAGUGCUCCAGACAAUGAAACAUCCAAAUCUACUAAUCAAGAUACCUGUAGUCCUUUUGCAGGGAUGCUCUUUGGAGGUGAAGAUCGAGAACUUAUUCAGAGAAGGAAAGAGAAAUACAGACUAGAACUGUUGGAACAAAUGGCUGAGCAACAGAGGAACAAGAGACGAGAAAAAGAUUUAGAACUCAGGGUUGCAGCAUCUGGAGCACAAGACCCUGAGAAAUCGUGGAAUGAAUUACUCACAUCAUUGCAGUUAAGUAAGGAGGAGCCUGAUAGACUAAAGCAGUUUAGUGUGGCACCAAGACACUUUGAAGAGAUGAUACCACCUGAAAGACCCAGAAUAGCUUUCCAGACACCUCUCCCUCCUUUAUCUGCCCCAUCUGUCCCACCCAUCCCAUCAGUUCAUCCUGUUCCUUCUCAAAAUGAAGAUUUGCGCAGUGGACUCAGCAGCGCCCUUGGUGAAAUGGUGUCUCCCAGGAUUGCACCUCUGCCUCCACCUCCCCUACUACCACCUUUGGCUACUAACUAUCGAACUCCUUAUGAUGAUGCAUACUAUUUUUAUGGGGCCAGGAGUACUUUCGAUCCCAGUCUUGCUUAUUAUGGUUCAGGAAUGAUGGGCGUACAGCCUGCAGCUUAUGUUAGUGCUCCUGUCACCCACCAACUAGCACAACCUGUUGUGAAUACGGUUGGACAGAAUGAACUGAAGAUUACAAGUGAUCAAGUGAUAAAUUCAGGAUUGAUUUUUGAAGAUAAACCGAAACCUUCCAAACAGUCACUUCAGUCUUACCAAGAGGCUUUGCAGCAGCAGAUUCGGGAAAGAGAAGAAAGAAGGAAGAAAGAACGUGAAGAAAAAGAAGAAUAUGAAGCUAAAUUAGAAGCUGAAAUGAGAACAUAUAAUCCCUGGGGAAAAGGUGGAGGUGGUGCUCCUCUCAGGGAUGCAAAAGGAAAUCUGAUAACUGAUUUGAAUAGGAUGCACAGACAAAAUAUAGAUGCCUACCAUAACCCAGAUGCAAGAACAUAUGAAGAUAAAAGGGCUGUUGUAUCUCUAGACCCAAAUUUAGCCACUUCAAAUGCUGAGAACCUAGAAGAUGCUGCAAAUAAAAGCUCAGGUCAUAUGCAAACACAGAGCUCUCCUUUUGCUCGGGGAAAUGUAUUUGGUGAGCCUCCAACUGAACUUCAGAUUAAACAGCAAGAAUUAUACAAGAAUUUUCUUCGUUUCCAGAUUGAGGAAAAGAAACAAAGAGAGGAAGCAGAGCGAGAGAGACUGAGAAUUGCAGAAGAAAAAGAAGAAAGACGGCUUGCAGAACAGAGGGCACGAAUUCAGCAGGAGUAUGAAGAGGAACAGGAAAAGAAAAGAGAGAAAGAGGAGGAGCAAAGGCUAAAAAAUGAAGAGCAUAUUCGGUUAGCUGAAGAAAGACAAAAAGAAGCAGAAAGAAAGAAGAAAGAAGAAGAAGAAAAAUAUAACCUGCAACUUCAGCACUACUGUGAAAGAGACAAUUUGAUUGGGGAAGAAACAAAGCGCAUGAGACAGCCUUCUCCUAUAGUUCCUGCUCUUCAGAACAAAAUUGCAAGCAAACUCCAAAGACCUCCUUCAGUUGACAGCAUCAUACGUUCCUUUAUUCAUGAAAGUUCCAUGUCCAGGGCACAGUCACCCCCGGUACCUGCCAGGAAAAAUCAGCUCCGUGCAGAAGAGGAGAAAAAAAAUGUAAUUAUGGAAUUAUCAGAAAUGAGAAAACAGCUUCGUAGUGAAGAGAGGCGUCUACAAGAGCGAUUGCUACACAUGGACAGUGAUGAUGAAAUUCCUAUCAGGAAAAAGGAAAGGAAUCCCAUGGAUAUAUUUGAUAUGGCUAGACAUCGGUUGCAAGCUCCUGUCAGAAGACAGUCCCCUAAGGGCUUAGACGCUGCCACUUUUCAGAAUAUUCAUGAUUUUAAUGAGCUGAAAGAUAGAGAGCAUACAGUGUUAAAGUCUGGAAUGGCUGAGAUCGCAUAGACUAGUAUGAAGAAUGGAACUUGGCAUUUAAUGGAGGAUGGACAGACAAAGAUGAGCUCAUGAAAAAUACUGAGGAGAAGCCAGAGAGACUGGAGGAGAAGCAGGAGAAUGUAGGAUCCUGAAACCUGAGGGGAAGGAGUAUCAAGGAGACAGGAUCAUGUAAGAUUCAGAAACACGAGUUGAUCUGAAAUUUAUGUACCCGGAUCCUCCAAGAGAUCAUCACACCUUAGAGAUUCAGCAGCAAGCCCUGCUAAGAGAGCAGCAGAAGAGGCUGAACAGAAUAAAAAUGCAGGAAGGUGCCAAAGUUGACUUAGAUGCCAUCCCAAGUGCUAAAGUACAAGAGCAAAGAAUGCCCAGAGAUGACACUAGUGAUUUCUUGAAAAACUCAUUAUUGGAAUCUGAUAGUGCUUUUAUUGGGGCUUACGGUGAGACAUAUCCUGCCAUUGAAGAUGACGUCCUCCCUCCACCAUCACAGUUGCCCUCUGCACGGGAGCGCAGGAGGAACAAAUGGAAAGGACUAGACAUUGCUUUCACUAACGUCUGAGGGAUAGAUGGAAUGAGUUUGAAGUCCUUUGAGUUGUGUGGCCCAAGUGUUAACUAUUGAGCAAAACCAGACCUCAGGAUUCAGUUUGCAUCAGAUUUUCUCUAUCAGAGAGGGUGCCCAUUUUAGAGUGGAGUCUAAACAGAUGAUGAGAGUUCACUGGUUGACCCUGAUGACAUCAUGAAACACAUAGGGGAUGACGGAUCAAACUCUGUAGCAACUGAGCCCUGGCUCCGCCCUGGCACUUCAGAAACACUGAAACGUUUCAUGGCAGAGCAGCUGAACCAGGAGCAGCAGCAGAUUCCUGGAAAACCAGGCACUUUCACUUGGCAGGGCCUGACGACUGCACAUGGUUAAAAUAAACCUGUAUUGGACCCAGUAGUGCCUUUUAAGGUGAAAGGAAUGGUAAAUCUGUACCUUUAAUAUGUCCUACUUUUGGCCCCUACCUGAAAGUUACUUUUUUUCCAUCAUCUGUAUAUAAAAUUAUUUUUAUCAUGAUGUAUAUUGUGUACAUAAAUAAAAGGCCAUGAUUAUUGAUUUAUACAAUAGAAUUGUAUAGAUUAUUUUUGCAUAGUUUUGUCAUAAAUUAGGGUGGUAAUGAACUGGAUUGAACUACUAUAUGUGCAUUAUAUUGAAUUCUGCUUGUCAUUAAGAUGAUAAGGUGAAUAAGUGUCUUAAACGUCCUGUAAAACCGGACUCCCCUUUGUUACAUGCACAUUUUCCAUUGUUACCUCGAUGCAAAAGAAUUCAUUUAGUAGGUACAUCUAUUGUAGCUGUGAUUAUUCCAGUUUCUGUGUGAUGCAAUCAAAUGUCCUAUUAAUUAUUAUUUCAUGUCUUUUGUAGCUGCUGAUACAGCAGAAGUGAAGGGAACUGUAAUUGCUUGUAUUUUUGUAAGCCAUACGUUAAAUGUUUGUUACAUCAUCUUUCUGCUUCUAUUUUUAUGCCAAUGAAGGCAUUUGUCUUGUUACUAAUUACAUGAUGUAACUACUUCUUGAUAUAAAUAAAUUUUUAUUUUAAUUACUAAAAUCUUUUUAACUACUAUGGAGCUUUCUAGACUAGUUUUCUAGAGGUUGAAUAGAGGUGGGGACACCCGGGAGGACAGAGAGACUGGAGUCUUCUUCUUCCACCAUGGAACCUUGGAUAAGUGAGUCCAUGUGAGUUUUCUAAUCACUCAGUAAGUGAUACUUCUAAAAAAGGAAAGAGUCAUUCAAAUAAUUGUGACAUUCUGACUCAGAUUAGAAUCUCAGAACCAUGACAGCUGAGAACAUCCCCAGGCACUGCUUCUCUCUCUAAUACUUCCUCUGAUGUAAUUAAUGGUUGGUAGACAAUAUCAGACAAAUUUGCCACAAUUAAAUUACUGAUAUUUUGA